rnacentral:rRNA from 2 species
GUGCGAGACCGAUAGCGAACAAGUACCGUGAGGGAAAGAUGAAAAGAACUUUGAAAAGAGAGUUAAAGAGUACCUGAAACUGCUGAAAGGGAACCGAAUCGUUUCCAGUGUCUAUAAUCUAUGGCAUAUUUCAUUGGCGUGUGGGUGUGUGCAGCGUUUUGGAAGUAGUUUUCUGCUCCUGUCGUUGUUUUGCGCUCGCCUGCUGGUGCCCUGUGCUGUAGUGGGACGUCAGAGUCAGUUUGUAUGCUGCGGGAAAUGGUUACUGGGGAGGUAGGUCACUUCGGUGGCUGUUAUAUCCUGGUGACUAGUCGUCGUGGUUGAGACUGAGGUGCCUAC